GGAGGAAAAGAAACCAACAGGGAUUGCCCUAGUAACGGCGAGUGAAGCGGCAAUAGCUCAAAUUUGAAAGCUGGCCUCUGGUCCGCAUUGUAAUUUGUAGAGGAUGCUUUUAGGCAGCCGCCGGUCUAAGUUCCUUGGAACAGGACGUCAUAGAGGGUGAGAAUCCCGUAUGUGACCGGCUCAGGCACCUUCUGUAAAGCUCCUUCGACGAGUCGAGUUGUUUGGGAAUGCAGCUCUAAAUGGGAGGUAAAUUUCUUCUAAAGCUAAAUACUGGCGAGAGACCGAUAGCGCACAAGUAGAGUGAUCGAAAGAUGAAAAGCACUUUGGAAAGAGAGUUAAAAAGCACGUGAAAUUGUUGAAAGGGAAGCGCUUGCAAUCAGACUUGGCUUAGAUUGUUCAACCGGUCUUCUGACCGGCCUAUUCAUUCUGAGCCAGGCCAGCAUCAGUUUCGGCGGCCGGAUAAAGGCCUUGGGAAUGUGGCCCUCCCUUCGGGGUGGGUGUUAUAGCCCAGGGUGUAAUACGGCCAGCCGGGACUGAGGUCCGCG
rnacentral:rRNA from 1 species